CCCAGUGCGCCUGCGCGGGAGCGCGACGGCCGGGGCUCGGCGGCGGGCCGGGCUGGGCGCGCGCCGGGAGAGGAGGAUGCGCCCCGCGGAUUUGCCAGUUCCUGUAUGCCCAUGGGAAUCGUGUUCUGGCUCCUUGACAGUGCUAUAGGAGAAGCUGAUGUUCUGAACAGUGAGCCUGGGGAACAAGACAGUGUGGAUUGCCACCUGCCUUGCCUCUUCUCCCAGCCGCCUGCAGUGAGCUCUCACGUGCCAGCGGACGAGGGUGGAGGAGAGUGGCCACGUGAAGCUGGGACAGUGUGGGUGAGCCAAAGGGCUUUUGACCAGUGGGCUGUGGCAACUGGGGGUCCUCACCACCCUGCAGGAGAGACAACUGGCUCCUGCCAGGUAGAUGCCUUCAGGGGAGUGGCCAACUCCAGCUGAACUGAUGAAUCUUGGCACCUGAUACAAGGCUCAGCUUCUGAUAUGAAGAAGGAUAUAGAGUCUUUAAUAGCCCAGGAAAAAGCAGAAAUCGUCGCCAAGUAUGAGAAGGGCAGACAGGAAGGAGCUCAGAUUGACCAGUGGGAAGAUGCCGAUUUCACCCUCUACAAAGUUACAGACCGGUUUGGAUUCCUGCACGAGCAGGAGCUGCCAACCCGCACCGCCUUGGAGGAGAAGCAAAAACAGCAGGAAAUAGAACGUGUGGACAAGUGGCUUAAGAUGCUGAAGAAGUGGGGCAAAUACAGAAACAGUGACAAGAUGUGCCGGCGUGUGUACAAAGGGAUCCCACUUCAGGUGCGAGGCCAGGUCUGGUCACUUCUGCUGGAUGUCGAGAAGAUGAAGAAGGAGAAUGAAGGAAAAUAUGAGCAAAUGAAAGAACAAGCAAAAAAUUUUUCAUCGGAAAUCAAGCAGAUAGAUUUGGAUGUUAACCGCACCUUCCGAAACCACAUCAUGUUUCGGGAUCGCUACGGAGUGAAGCAACAGGCACUCUUCCACGUCCUGUCAGCAUACUCAGUUUAUAACACUGAAGUGAGCUACUGCCAAGGGAUGAGCCAGAUUGCAGCCAUCCUCCUGAUGUACUUGAAUGAAGAGGAUGCGUUCUGGGCGCUGGCACAGCUGCUCACCAACCAGCGCCACGCCAUGCACGGUUUUUUCAUUCCUGGGUUCCCGAAGCUGCAGAGGUUUCAAGCCCACCAUGAGCAAAUUUUAAACAAACUGUUCCCCAAACUGAAGAAGCACAUGGACAAGGAGCAGAUGACCACCGGGAUUUACACAACCAAGUGGUUCCUGCAGUGUUUCAUUGACCGGACCCCAUUCACGCUGACCUUGCGGCUGUGGGAUAUUUACAUCCUGGAAGGGGAGCGAGUGCUGACAGCCAUGGCUUACACCAUCCUCAAACUGCACAAAAAGCGCUUGCUGAAGAUGGCACUGGAAGAUUUACGUGAAUUUCUGCAGGAGAAAAUUGCUGCUUCCCUGCAGUACGAGGACGAUGCUGUCAUCGAGCAGCUGCAGGUGUCAAUGACUGAACUGCGCAAAAUGAAGUUUGACCUGCCCCCACCAGCAAAGCCUGAGGAGUUUCCAAGGAAACCCCUGGGCCUGGAGCUCUCCCUCAACCCAGUAGCCAUAAAGGAGAACACAGCGGCCAAUGGCCAGAAUGGCCAGGUGGGUGAGCACACCCCAGACAGGGAGCCUCAUCGCCACAGAGUUCCUGGCACACCAGAAGGAGUGACAGUGGUGGAAGCGAGGAUUCUCACCUUCCAGGGUAGUGAAGCAGUUGAAGCAACAAACGUGCCUGUUUCGGGUGGGCAGCCACCAGAUGAGGAGGGUCAGGUGGAGCCCAUCAUGGACGGGCAGCCAUCAUCUCUUCUGAAGGCAAGCGAGACGCAGGCCCAGCAACACCUCCUGCCCACAGUCCUGCCUCCAGAGGAGCCUCUUCUUGCUCCUGGCUGUGCCGCGGUGGACCAUGGAGUCUCCCUCCAUGCCCCAGCUGAGCACAGCUCCUUAGACUCCUCUCUCCAAAACAGGCCAGCUCCUCCCGACUCCAGCACCGCUGAGCUUUCCUCUACGGACCAGGCAGUGUGGCAGCCAAAUCCCGCUGCCCUGCCAGCAGGAGAACAGGCAUCUUCCCUGAGCAGAGACACAGUGCUCGAAGCAGCCCCCCAUCCUCUGCCAGCCGGCUGCCAGCAGCUCUCCUGCACUUCACAGAGCGAUGACUCCCCCGAGAGCGAGCGCGGGGAGGAGGCGGCGGAUGACAGGCACUGCAGGGCGGUGCUGCCGGACAAAAUGGGCCUGAAGCGCUCGGCAUCCAAAGCUGCAUCCACAGGAGAGCUCCUCAGCCUGCAGCACAAUGGGCCGGGCAGUGCCACCACGUGCUGGCCCGAGGCCGUGGGCACGCUGCCCGCGCACAGGCAGGCGGGGGGCAGUGUGCCCACCUUGUCCAGCAGAGAGCCGGAGGCAGCGGGGCUGGCCGAGGGCUGCCCCGCCCAGCGGGCACCGUCCCCUCUGGUGGAAGGGAACAGCCCUUAUGUCAUUAUCAAAACCACCACACCCCUCCACCUGGCCCAUGCGACAGAGCAGGACUUCUUGAACAGAAAGCAGGUGGCGUUGCCUCUGUCAGAGACUGGACAUCCUCUGCCUACCACCUCCAUGCCACCACCUCUUAUGGCAGACCCAGAGGAGGUAGAGGUCCAGAAAAGCCUCCAGAAACCAUUAAAUGCACUGAAAGCCCCACGACCCCCACUGAGCCCCAAACCAAAAUUACCGCCACAGGUUGCCAAAUCCCGCUCAGAGAACAGUUUCCUUUCAGGCUCUCCUUCCCUGGCAAAGAUGCCCAAAUCAGUGACGUUCUAGUGGGGAUGGGGAAGGGGAAGUUAAGGGAGAAGAAGUGGGUUCUGGAGAAGCACCCUUGUCCCAUUUACAGGAUCCCCUUCUGUCAGCAGGGCUGUCAGGGUGACAGCACAGCACCAUCACACAUCAAGCUGUGCUUUGGUACGAGCACCCAGCGAGGAGACGAAGCAGUGCCCACCAGCACUAGGAGACACCAGCAGAUUGGAUUGGCGUGUUCCCUAUGGACAAAUUGAAAAAUGCUUUCAUUUUUUGUUCCUCAAAGCUCCCCAAGUCUCAUCACUUGGGGGAAGAGGCAGGGCUGGUUAAAAUCUGGCCUGAAACAUCACAGAAAAACAAAAAGAAAGCCCCAGCACCACUGAACACUACAGUUUACUGUCACAGAAGCAGCCUGAGGAUGCAGCUCUUCGCACAUCUCCUGUGCCAUUUCACACUGGAUGCCAGCACAGGGAUGCAGCACUGUGACCAAGGGUGAGAUCCUCAGGCUGGAGAGAAGCAAACCUCAUCCCUCCUGUGUUCCAGGUGCUCACAAGCAGCCUCAUUGCACAUGCUGCUUUGUGUCACCUCCCAGCCACCAGCUCCCGUGAACCUGUUGGCUCUCAGGCAGUGCCAGGUGGGACCAGGUUUGAACAUCUGCCAUGGUUACUUACGUGACAGGCAGUGCAGGGUUCAGAAAUGGCAUUUACCCAACUGCUAAAACAGCAUCCCCGUCAAGGAGAGAGCAGAAGUGUCCAGAAGGGCAGCUUCCCCAAGGGAAGGUGAGUUGUGCUAGGUUUGAGGGUUGUGUUCCUCCAUUAAACAGCCUUGGUUCACUUGGUUGUUGAAAAAAAAUGGAGGAAGAUUGCUCAUUGGUAUCCUUGAUUCCCAGGCUCCCUGCAUUUGCCUGGUUGUGGCCUUGCGGCUGUGGUACUCUCACCCUGUUCCUGCAGGGACCAGGGUCAGGCAUGGCUCCACCACCUCCUCUUACAGCAUCCCUCCAGCUAGUGCAGGAGCCACAGAGGUACCCAGCCUUGAACUGGUGCUUGAUGGGGCUCUCAGGUAUGGUUUUGGGGUGCCAAGCACCCACUGCAGAGACUCUUCUCAUGGGGAGACCACCCCUGGGACUUGCCCACAGGUAAGCCUAAGCCCUUCCCUCUCUUACCAGGCAGUGUAAGACCUCAGGGUGAACAUAAGCCAUGCCUGGUGUCCAGCCUGGACUGAAGGUCUGGCCUCCAGCUGCUGCCAGGAGCACCAGGUCAUGGCAUGCUCCUUGCAGCAGGGAGGUGCUCGUGUCCCUGAGGGGAUGGGAGGGUAGACAGCUCCUGUGUCAUUCCAGCAGUACCCCUUGCCCCGUCCUGUGCCCUUCAGGACCUGACUGCUGCUCGCAGAGGACAAAUAUUAGGACAAUCCCAAAGCCCAAGGUUACAGAUACCCACUUGAUGGACAUCAUUGGGACCAGCAGCAAAUGAGUGUCACAGAUGCUGUGGAGGCUGCUGCUUAAAUCCUAGAGGUCUUAUCAGCCAGGGACUGGUCCUCCCACUGCCUCUUCCUCUGCAUUUGGUAUUUGCCAGUAUUAAUGUCCCCCUUUUCCUGGUGGAGCCAUUUCUGUCGUCACAGCAGCUCUCCAGCUCCCAGGGCUGGUCUCCAAGGCAGAACUGCAAACUCCCCAAGCUGUGCUCAGCUUCGGUGCCCUGGCAGCCCCCUGUGGCUCCUGUCCUUCCUGGCUCAGGAACAGCCAAACCAGCAGUCCCAGCAGGAGACCAGGUCUGUCCUCGCUGCACACUGGCUCUUAGGCAAGCCCCGGCUGUGCUCAUCACCAUCCCUGCCCACCUCCCACGACAUGGAAAGCUCAUCAACGGCUGCAUGCCUCCACAAGGCUUCAGCCACUUGGCACUGAAUAAUUGAUGCUAAGUGGAGCCUGGAGCAGACAAGCUGAGGGAGGGAGCAAGGCUUUGUGCUGCUUUAGGCUCUGCUCCCAGGAUAUAGCAGGAGGAGAGAGAUGGGUGUGCUGUGUCUGGCAGCUUUGUGCCCCAGCCAGUUUCACAGAGGCAGUUGGAGUUUGGCUGGACCUGGGAGUGUUCUUCCUCUUCGCCUUGCUGUGCUGCUCACGUGCUUCUGUGUCCUACUGCCAUGGUGGUGCUGCUGUGCUGUUAUCCAUUACCUGCUGCUUGUGGCACCUGUGGGAUUUGCAUGCUGCUGUCAUGCUGCUCUCGUGCUCAUUGUGUGCUGCAGAGGGGCCAUGGCAUCAGUGGAUGGGUCUUGGGGAGCAGAUCAAGGGCACCCCCAGUCCCAGCAGCCCUUGCUAGGGCUGGUACCAUGGCUCUCCUAAGCUACACACCCUGUACUUAACCCAUAGCAAGAGCAAAGUGGUUGCACAUGGGGCCAAGCCCAUCUGCCUCUUCCCCUUCCCACCAGCUGCUGGUGGCCAGGAUGGUGGCUGUCACACCAUCCUCUGAGCAAUGUCACCCCCUUCCUACAGCACAUCUCCAAGUAUAAAGCAGUGUAUGGAGAAAAUAACAGCCUGGCAGUUUAAAGAGGCAGGUCUGACCACUUCCCAAACCAUCUCCCAAAUCCUACUGCCUCAGUGGCUGAGGAGGCCCACAGGGCAUACACCAGCAUCCUCUUCACCUAGAAGGAUGUGGACACCAGGAGAUGACCAAACCACAGCUGAAACAUCUCACCAGGAGAUGCAGCAGGUGGACCCAUCCCACGGGCAUCCUUACUCACUGGCAGCAGUUACAAAAGAGCCCAAGAUGGGGAUGGAGAAGGCUUAGAAGGCACACAUGAAGACAUGAGUCCAAGGAAUUGGAGUCACUAAAGCCUGGCUAUUCUUCCACAUAGCAAAACAGGUUCCUCCUAAGACACAGAGAAAAGUAAACUAAGAAAUUUCCAAUUUUGUCCAAAACUGGUAUGAGCUCCCUUAGAGGUACCUGUGGCUACAUGGGAUGCAAUAUCACAAGCCCCCCUUCCAACCAUCCCAUUAAGAGCCUGGGCCACUCUGGUGCCCUGGAGCUGCUCAGCCUGGCCUCACAUCAGAGCCCUGCUCCUGGAACAUCUAAGCCUACAGACUUAGAUAACCUCAGGCUUGGGGAAGCUGUUUCUUGAGUGGCUUUGCUUACCUUUAUGGUGAAGGCAAGAAGUGAUACAGAAGUACUGCUUAGGCUGGAAAAGUGUGCAGCAGUGGCUGUAGUCCAGAAGGGAAACCUGGUCUGCUCCUCUACCCAACCACAACUGCAGGUGAGGAGGAUGAGGCCAGCAUUUAGCCAAAGCUCCUCUCUAAUACUCAGCCUUUCAUUCAGCUGCCCCCACCACUACCUCACAUCUCAGGUCUCACCCCAGCACUGAGUCAUUGCUGCCAGCUCCUGCACAACCCAGGUCUUUGCCAAAGCCCUCGGCAAGCACUGUGCACUCACCUGCUUUGGAGUCACCCUCUCUGCUGGCUUAGGAGAAUGCUCCUGUGGAAGCCCUCACAGACCAAAAGGCAUGAGAUCUGUUCCAGCACUUGAUCAGCAUCUUUAAGGACUUGUAAGCAAUUCUGGCAGUUGACUCAGCUGUGAUGUCUCUGGAGCCCCAACCCCUCUGUAACAGGGUGUGGGGCACUUAAAUUAUGUGAGAGAAGAACGUGUUAUACGCCUGUCCUGAGACAUCUGGACCUGACCAGACUAGAACAGACCUCAUCAGCUCUUCUGUAAUUUAAGUACGAGUUCAAAGGUGGCACUCCUCCAUCAUGGGAUAUGCAGUCUCAACAUAAUCAGAAGGAGGCUGACUGAAGCCUUCUCAGAGCUGGUUUUCACACUGGCUGGAGAUCCACAGCACAGCACAAGUUUAGUUCAGCUUUGCCAUGGCCAGCUGAAGACAUCACAACAGACAGAGAUGAGCUGAUGUACUCAAAUAUAGCAAAAAGCUCACCUGUGUGGACUCUUCCAGCUUCAGCUAUGCAACAGGAAUAAUCAAAAUACAUUCUGCUCACCUGAGCUGUGCCUCUGAAGCAGAACUGAGGUACACAACAGACUCCUUAUCAUAAGGGAAACAACUGCAGUGUCUGAAAACUUCAUCUUCCAUUCCAGGUACUUCUAGAACAAAAGUGCCUUGAAUAACUAUGGAGAAAAUCAACUCCAAACCCCUCAGUUUCUCCAAACCUACAUUCACUCCAGUAAAACUGUAAUCCUGGUAUUACUUUCACACUCGAGAAGUUCAGCUAGCACAUCAGAACACAUCGUGAGCUCACGUACCGACCUCCUGCCUGUCAGGGGUUAGCAAGAUGAUGUGCUGUCCCCAGAUAAUCAGCACCAAGGUAGCAAGUGAAAAAGCCAAGUCAAGAGUAACAGCUUCACCUGAGAGAAGUGAUACAAUCUGGUUUUUGCCAACAGCAAAGAUCAGACCAGAUCACAGUUGAGGCAUCUUGAUCUGUCGUGAUUUUCCUCCUGGAACAAAGAUGCAGUAUGACAAUACACAAUUAAUACAUGGUUUUUGGAGACAAUCUGUGGUGUCAAGCUUUUCGCACCUCCUUUUGCUCCUAACCUACCUCCAACUUUUAGCAUGGACUUGAACAAUGACCUGAGUUUGGAUUUCUUGUGACCCAGUUACAGCAAAAAACUAACCAGCUCCUGUGAUGGUCUGUCACUGACCAGGACUGUCUCACAAGCUUGAAAAUCUUCCCCUGAGUGCAGAAACCUCUCUGAAAAGGAGAUGCUAUUACUUCAGCUUCCUGCUCCUCACCAAACUCUUCUAAGUAGCUGGUAUUCCGGCCAGUGCUGUUCUAGCAUAUUCUCACAAAGAUGUGCCAGUUUCUUGGAACUGCAGCUAUUACCUGCCCUGUGAAGACACCUUGGCCCUGGCACUCCCUGGAGCUCCUCAGCUUCCUUGACCGUAGCUCCCAGUACUUGGCAUUUGUCUCCCAGCCAGAAAUGAGAGGAGACUCUCAGUGGUUAGAGCCACCCAGUCCUUGAGAGAGCCCCAGAGUGUUACUUCUCCUCUGAAGACCUCCAGAUAGAUCUAUCCCAUCCUUCACCAAGGGCCUGAGGAAGGAAGGGGUAAGUCCUACUGCAGAUGAAGAGCACCACAUUCCUACUGCAGAAACACUACCAAGCAAUGAUGCCCCCAUGUCAUCUUCUAGAAGGACAUAGUACUGCUGUCCUGUGGCCAGUUGUGCACAAGAUGCCAACUUUAGGAACAACCCCCAUACUUCCAGUCUUCACACUUGAAACAACUCAGAGUGGGAGGUUUUCUGGGAGUCUCUGGUCCAGUCCCACCAUGUAACACUAGGUUCAGCAUCUUCAGCAGUCCUUCAGCACAGGGACAGACACUGCUGUAAACAGCACACCCAGCUAAAGGCAGGGCACUCUCCCCUCAGGUAACUUCUCCCACUCCAGGAACCGGUAUCAGCCCUUCUGCGGGAACAGGGUGCCAGGCAGCUGCAGCCAGGGUGGGGGCUGUGCCCUACAGCAGUUCAGAGCAGGCAUUUACAGAAAGCAAGCCAUUAGCACAAGUCCUCUCUUGCCCUGGCCAAAAGCAAAGACAGUACCCCCAAGGAGCAUGGGAGUUGAAUUCUGUUGCUUUAAUUCUGCUGCUGCCUGGCAUUAUGGAGGAUGGGGUGUGGUAUGGGAGGAUGCUUGCAAGGAUGCUGGGAAACCCUGGGUGGGCUGUGGCUUUGUGCUGGGGGUGACCAGGGUUUCUUUACUGGUUUUGCCAUGUGAGGCAUGUGACUCACACCACCCUCGCUGCUCCCAACCCAGACCAACCUUGGCUGCCAAACCCAGCACCUCUUCAGGCCUGGGCUAGCCCAAGCAUAACAGCUCCCUGCCACACUCAGCUGGAUCACCUUCCCCCUUUGAUGCUUCUAAUUCUGGAUGCCAGGUAAAUUAGCAUGUGCAAUAGCUUGGAAGAGGGAAAGACAACAAGUGCCAAGCUACCCACUGCACUGAAUGCAAUGCCUUGUCUUGGGGCUGCAAGUAAAAGGCACGUAGGUCAGACCUCAGGCAAAAACCCCAAAGGAGCAGAGCUGAGCAGACAGGGUUCCCAACAGAUUAGCCCUAAUCUAAAACACUCUUACCCACUUGAAACCCAGGGACUGGAAGCCUGAAUCCUUUAGUCUUAGUUGCUGAGCAGCCAGCCAGCUUCUGCAGCGCAGGAGAGCCCUUCUCGACAUGCUCACCAGUCAGGAAGCUGUGCACAGGGCAGACGAGGAUUUGCUUACCUGUACACACUGGAGCAGCCCAAGGUGUAUGUGCUAUACAGGUGUUAGCAUAGCUAGGGCUGGAGGGGACCAAAAAGUCCCAAUUCUGCCUCUAGAGCACAACACAUGAGGGAGGUCUUGUGCCAGAAAGAGCUGACAGGAAAGGAAUCAGGGAAGGAACAAACUGGUACCAGCUGAGGUGAAACCAGCUCUCCAGUCUCCUCGCUGAUGCUUCUUCCCUUCCAGGCAUUGUAUCUGAGGCCAUAAAUCCCACAAGGACUAGGCUGAAAGCAAAGUACUCAAGGGGUGCCAAGAACAGGCUUGGACUGGUUGAACUCUUCCACCCUCCCAAAACUUGGGGCCAGCAGUUUCAGGUGGGCUGGGGAGGACAUAAAAAAGACUUGCUGGAAACACAGACAAGCUAUCUUGCCGUGAGACCUUGUCUC